rnacentral:rRNA from 1 species
CCUACGGGAGGCAGCAGUGGGGAAUAUUGGGCAAUGGAGGAAACUCUGACCCAGCAACGCCGCGUGAAUGAUGAAGGUCUUCGGAUUGUAAAGUUCUUUUCUAAGGGAAGAAGAAAGUGACGGUACCUUAGGAAUAAGCCUCGGCUAACUACGUGCCAGCAGCCGCGGUAAUACGUAGGAGGCGAGCGUUAUCCGGAAUGACUGGGCGUAAAGGGUGCGUAGGUGGUUUGGCAAGUUAGUAGCGUAACUCCAAGGCUCAACCUUGGAACUACUACUAAAACUGUUGGACUUGAGUGCAGGAGGGGCAACCGGAAUGCCUAGUGUAGCGGUGGAAUGCGUAGAUAUUAGGAGGAACACCAGUGGCGAAGGCGGGUUGCUGGACUGUAACUGACACUGAGGCACGAAAGCGUGGGGAGCAAACAGGAUUAGAUACCCCAGUAGUC